UACGAAGGGUGCAAGCGUUACUCGGAAUUACUGGGCGUAAAGCGUGCGUAGGCGGUUCGUUAAGUCUGAUGUGAAAGCCCUGGGCUCAACCUGGGAAUGGCAUUGGAUACUGGCGACCUAGAGUGCGGUAGAGGGUGGCGGAAUUCCCGGUGUAGCAGUGAAAUGCGUAGAUAUCGGGAGGAACAUCCGUGGCGAAGGCGGCCACCUGGACCAGCACUGACACUGAGGCACGAAAGCGUGGGGAGCAAACAGG
rnacentral:rRNA from 1 species